AACGAACGCUGGCGGCGUGGAUAAGACAUGCAAGUCGAGCGAGAUUUUUUCGUGUAGCAAUACAGGGAAAAGUCUAGCGGCGAACGGGUGCUUAACACGUGGGCAACCUGCCGUGAAGUGGGGGAUAGCUCGCCGAAAGGCGAAUUAAUACCGCAUGUGAUUAGAGAGGACAUCCUUUCGAAAUUAAAGUCGGGGCAACCUGACGCUUCUUGUGGGGCCCGCGGCCUAUCAGCUAGUUGGUGAGGUAACGGCUCACCAAGGCUUUGACGGGUAGCUGGUCUGAGAGGACGACCAGCCACACUGGGACUGAGACACGGCCCAGACACCUACGGGUGGCAGCAGUCGAGAAUUUUUGACAAUGGGGGAAACCCUGAUCGAGCGACGCCGCGUGGAGGAUGAAGGUCUUCGGAUUGUAAACUCCUGUCAUUGGGGAACAAGGUGCAUACGUUAACUGCGU
rnacentral:rRNA from 1 species